UCCUUGCACAAGUAGCCUGAAGGGCUUUCUC
rnacentral:piRNA from 1 species